AGCAGCCGCGGUAAUUCCAGCUCCAAUAGCGUAUAUUAAAGUUGUUGCAGUUAAAAAGCUCGUAGUUGAAUUUCGGGAUUGGCGCAUCGGUCGUGCCUCACGGGGUAUGAACUGGUGCAGUCAAUUUCUCACCUUCUGGAGAACCGCGAUGUCCUUAAUUGGAUGCCGCGGGGAACCAGGACCUUUACUUUGAAAAAUUAGAGUGUUUAAAGCAAGCUAACGCUUGAAUACAUUAGCAUGGAAUAAUGAAAUAGGACGUUCGAUCCUAUUUUGUUGGUUUCUAGGAUUGACGUAAUGAUUAAUAGGGAUAGUUGGGGGCAUUAGUAUUCAAUUGUCAGAGGUGAAAUUCUUGGA
rnacentral:rRNA from 1 species